rnacentral:lncRNA from 1 species
UCAGCCGUUUUCGAUUUCUAAAAUCUAUUUUUUGAGGGCAAUUUUGAGAAUCCUCAAUUUAGUCUGAGGUAGCGAGGCUCUCCUGAUAAUUUAUCCAGCGCCCAUCGAUGGUUAAUUAAACAAGAGAUUUCGAUAGAUUAACUACGGGCCGACGGGCUCCCUCGGGCCGUCUUACUAAUUAACAGACGCUGGCAAAUGCCGAAAAAUUGCUAGACUAAUUAACAACCAAGCGUUGCCU